AAUUUUGGACAAUGGGGGCAACCCUGAUCCAGCCAUCCCGCGUGUGCGAUGAAGGCCUUCGGGUUGUAAAGCACUUUUGGCAGGGAAGAAAAGGCUCUGGCUAAUACCUGGAGCUGCUGACGGUACCUGCAGAAUAAGCACCGGCUAACUACGUGCCAGCAGCCGCGGCAAUACGCAGGGUGGAAGCGUUAAUCGGAAUUACUGGGCGGAAAGCGGGCGCAGGCGGUUCGGCAAGAAGGAGUUGAAAUCCCAGGGCUUAACCUUGGGAAUGCAUUCUUAACUGCCGGGCUAGAGUAUGUCAGAGGGGGGUAGAAUUCCGCGUGUAGCAGUGAAAUGCGUAGAGAUGCGGAGGAAUACCGAUGGCGAAGGCAGCCCCCUGGGAUAAUACUGACGCUCAUGCACGAAAGCGUGGGGAGCAAACA
rnacentral:rRNA from 1 species